rnacentral:tRNA from 1 species
UAAGACCUUAGCUUAAUUAAAGUGUUUGAGUUGCAUUCAUGAGAUAUGGGAUAGAAUCCUGUAGGUCUUAGC